GGCUUAGUAGUUCAGCUGGUUAGAAUGCCGCCCUGUCACGGCGGAGGUCGUGGGUUCGAGUCCCAUCUAAGUCGCCA
rnacentral:tRNA from 11 species